rnacentral:rRNA from 1 species
GAUGAACGCUGGCGGCGUGCUUAACACAUGCAAGUCGAACGAAGCACUUUAUUUGAUUUCCUUCGGGACUGAUUAUUUUGUGACUGAGUGGCGGACGGGUGAGUAACGCGUGGGUAACCUGCCUUGUACAGGGGGAUAACAGUUGGAAACGGCUGCUAAUACCGCAUAAGCGCACGGCAUCGCAUGAUGCAGUGUGAAAAACUCCGGUGGUAUAAGAUGGACCCGCGUUGGAUUAGCUAGUUGGUGAGGUAACGGCCCACCAAGGCGACGAUCCAUAGCCGACCUGAGAGGGUGACCGGCCACAUUGGGACUGAGACACGGCCCAAACUCCUACGGGAGGCAGCAGUGGGGAAUAUUGCACAAUGGGCGAAAGCCUGAUGCAGCAACGCCGCGUGAGCGAAGAAGUAUUUCGGUAUGUAAAGCUCUAUCAGCAGGGAAGAUAAUGACGGUACCUGACUAAGAAGCACCGGCUAAAUACGUG